UACAUGGGGUGCAAACGUUGCUCGGAAUUAUUGGGCGUAAAGCGCACGUAGGUGGUCUGUUAUGUCAGAUGUGAAAGCCCUCGGCUUAACUGAGGAAGUGCACCUGAAACUGGCAGGCUUGAGUACGAAAGAGGGUCGCGGAAUUCCCGGUGUAGAGGUGAAAUUCGUAGAUAUCGGGAGGAACACCGGUGGCGAAGGCGGCGACCUGGUUCGAUACUGACACUGAGGUGC
rnacentral:rRNA from 1 species